rnacentral:rRNA from 1 species
CACGCACGCUGGCGGCAUGCCUAACACAUGCAAGUCGAACGAGACCUUCGGGUCUAGUGGCGCACGGGUGCGUAACGCGUGGGAACCUGCCCUUAGGUUCGGAAUAACUCCCCGAAAGGGGUGCUAAUACCGGAUAAUGUCUUCGGACCAAAGAUUUAUCGCCUUUGGAUGGGCCCGCGUUGGAUUAGCUAGUUGGUAGGGUAAAAGCCUACCAAGGCGACGAUCCAUAGCUGGUCUGAGAGGAUGAUCAGCCACACUGGGACUGAGACACGGCCCAGACUCCUACGGGAGGCAGCAGUGGGGAAUAUUGGACAAUGGGCGAAAGCCUGAUCCAGCAAUGCCGCUUGAGUGAUGAAGGCCUUAGGGUUGUAAAGCUCUUUUACCCGGGAUGAUAAUGACAGUACCGGGAGAAUAAGCUCCGGCGAACUCCGU